rnacentral:rRNA from 1 species
GGAUAUAUCUAAACGGCCGCAGAAUUUUAACUGUGCUAAGGUAGCAUAAUCAUUUGUCUUUUAAUUGAAGACUGGUAUGAAUGGUUUAACGAAAUUAAGCUGUCUCUUCUAUAUUAAAUAUAAUUUAAUCUUAAAGUUAAAAAGCUUUAAUAAAAUAAAAAGACAAAAAGACCCUAUAGAGUUUUAUUUACACUAUUUUUAUUAAAAAUAAAUGUAAAUUUUGUUGGGGCAACUGAGAAAAAUUAAAUUUUUCUUUAAUUAAAUAACCAUAAUAUAUCAUUUAUUAAAUAAAUCAAAAUAAAUUACCUUAGGGAUAACAGCGUAAUUUUCUUUGAGAGUCCAAAUCGAAAAGAAAAAUUAC